GAGGCGAAAAAGAUAGCUAAUUUCAAUAGUGUAAUCUGGGAUUUCUCUGUUUUAAAGUGAUAAAAUAACUCUCUAUGAGAUAAACAUAUACCGGUAAGUGGAGGGUCCCUUUCACCUUUACCUGAUCAUUUUCUUGUUCUGGUUUUCCCUGUCUUCGUAAAUACGCAAAUAUGACAUCUAUCCUAAGUCGUCAAGUGUAAUGAAACUCUCAGUCAUUCCUCCCAAAAGAAGAAAAAAAAAUAAACAUAAAAAUAAUAAUGGAAGACAUAACAAUCAUAACAAUGGGUACAGACAAUAUCUAUUUAGCCAUAUUGAUUAAUUGGCAAGAGAACAGCUUUCAUCGCGUUGGGGAAUCGCAAUAUUCUUUCUCUCCACCUCGUCACUGUCAUCAUCCUCAUGACUCAGGCUUCCAUACCCUGUAUCUACGCUCUUUAAGCUUUCACGGCGGUCAUCUUUAGUUUUAUUUUCCGUCUCUCCCGAUUCUUCGUCGACAUCGGUCCUGCCAGGGUGGAGUUCGGUAACGAUGUUUGUAUCUUGAGUUUUGUCUUUGCUGUGCGUUGCUCUGUGACGAUGGCCUUCCCAUCUGGUUUCUUCUACUUCAAUAUGAAUGCCAGCUCGUUGGCAGGCAUCGAUGCAUCCCUUGACAGCUUUUUCCACCAAUUCCAUGUCAAAUCCGGAGGAAAUCGGGUUAUAAGCAUUGCGAACCCAAUAAAUGAGACCUUGGGCGAUACGGGAGAGGUUUGGAAUAGGCAGAGUAGAGCCGUUAGUGCUAGACUCUGCUUCAUAACGCUGGGUUGAGGAGGUGGUGUCUGAGGCGGAUGAGCACAUGGAGGAAGAUAAGGAAGACUCCAAAAGCAGAUGUUGUUCGGCUGCUACGACAUGUAAAAGGUGGUAGAGGGAGGCGAACCCCAGGAGUGUAAGCUCAACGGGAUCGAUCGGAAGAACAUUGAAUAGUUCAAUUGCGUUGCGAAUCGUGAGUUGGGGCGUGGAUGAAUCUCCACCCACCUGCCCUUUCAGUAUCGCAGCAAUCAUGGCGCACCGAACAGCAAUAGAUAUUUCCGCCCGCGCUGACGGUGGGACUGACGAAUCAAGGAAAUUUGUACUGCUGAUGGCUGGCUGGCUUUUGGGUCGCGGAAGGGCAGCAAGGACGGUGUUAAUAUUUGUCACUCUGUCUUCACCAAAGAAAACGGCCUUGAUUACAGCCGCUCGUGUAUAAGCAGCUGAGGCGAGCGGUGCAACAUUUGACGCUAGAUUGAGGUUGAGUUCGAAGACUUCUCUGAGUUUCUGCUCGGGUGGGAAGGCAUCAAAAUCAAGACAAUGGAUCAAUGCAUUCUGAAGAGCUCUACUAGACCACCACGCCGCAAGAGCAUCGAGAGGCGAGCGUACUGCAGUGUCUUCAACGACAAUAUCUAACAUAGCGUCUUCACCAUAAGUAGCUUCUUGGGUAUAUCUGUUCCAUGCCAUGUUGGAUGCACGUUGCGUUAUUGCAUCGGUCAUAACAUCAUCCGAAUCCGCUUCGAGAAGAGUGACAAGAUGUUCUGGAAGCGCAUCUUCGUGGUCCUUGGGUAGAUUCUUUAAUAGAUUUCUUGCUAUAUCCCAUUGAUAUCUGGCCAGGAGGGAGCCAAUGUGGUUUGAGAGUCUAAAAGCCCACGAGCCUGGAG
rnacentral:sRNA from 2 species